rnacentral:rRNA from 1 species
UACGUAGGGGGCAAGCGUUGUUCGGAAUUACUGGGCGUAAAGGGUUCGUAGGCGGUGUGGCAAGUCGGGAGUGAAAUCUCUGGGCUCAACCCAGAGUCUGCUUCCGAAACUGCUGUGCUUGAGUGUGGGAGAGGCGCGUGGAAUUCCUGGUGUAGCGGUGAAAUGCGCAGAUAUCAGGAAGAACACCUAUGGCGAAGGCAGCUCUCUGGGACGGUACUGACGCUGAGACGCGAAAGCGUGGGGAGCGAACAGG